CUCUCCUAUUGAAGACUGGAUUCACCUCUUGCACACGCACCAAGUUGCCAUAGGGCAGAAGCUUAUGCACAGCACAACUCUUUAAUAUCGCUCUUGAACUCUGGGGUUCAGUGCAGUUUCCCUUCUUUCUAUUUUUCUCCAGGGCAUUGGCAAAUACUUUCCAUCCAACCAGGGCCUUGACUUUGUGGGGAGCACAAUGGAUGCCAUGCUGUCUGCCAGCCCCAUGUGUGCCACAGCAGCAGGACAUUGGCUCAUUACAAUCCUUAGGGAGCAUGGAGAUGCCCUUCUGAAUGAGGUGCCAGACAUCCUGCGCGCCACUUUUAUCUGGAUGCCGACAAUCCAGGAAAGAUCUGUGACAGGCUUCCUGCUAGAAGGCAUCUCCGUUCUUGCUGGCUUCCAUCUAGAGGCAGUGACCAGCAGCCUCCUUAGAAAGCCUUUGCCGAUGGACAGAUACUUACCACUCCCUACCUCUUGUGCCUGGUGCCACUCACACAUCCCACAACCUGGCAAAGCCCAUAGAGUUUCAAGUCAGCUGCAGAUCCUUUGGGAUGACUUGGUAAUAGUCAAUGCCUUAGUGCGUUUGCAUAGGAAAUGCCAGACUUGUGCCUAAUGGCAUUGGCAGAUGACAUCACUGUGCCCCA